rnacentral:rRNA from 1 species
UACGUAGGGCGCAAGCGUUAUCCGGAAUUAUUGGGCGUAAAGGGCUCGUAGGCGGUCUGUUGCGUCAGGAGUGAAAACUCGGGGCUUAACCCCGAGCCUGCUUCUGAUACGGGCAGACUAGAGGUAUGCAGGGGAGAACGGAAUUCCUGGUGUAGCGGUGAAAUGCGCAGAUAUCAGGAGGAACACCGGUGGCGAAGGCGGGACUCUGGGCCGAUACUGACGCUGAGGAGCGAAAGCGUGGGGAGCGAACAGG